rnacentral:rRNA from 1 species
UGAGCAAUCUGCCCUUCUCUUUGGAAUAAGCGUUGGAAACGACGUCUAAUGCCGAAUACGACCUCCUUUCGCAUGAUCGGAGGUGGAAAGCUCCGGCGGAGAAGGAUGAGCUCGCGGCCUAUCAGCUAGUUGGUGUGGGUAAUGGCCCACCAAGGCGACGACGGGUAGCCGGCCUGAGAGGGUGACCGGCCACACGUGGGACUGAGACACGGCCCAGACCUCCGUACGGGAGGNAG